AAGAGACUGGGAUAACACCUGGAAACAGAUGCUAAUACCGGAUAACAACACUAGACGCAUGUCUAGAGUUUAAAAGAUGGUUCUGCUAUCACUCUUGGAUGGACCUGCGGUGCAUUAGCUAGUUGGUAAGGUAACGGCUUACCAAGGCAAUGAUGCAUAGCCGAGUUGAGAGACUGAUCGGCCACAUUGGGACUGAGACACGGUCCAAACUCCUACGGGAGGCAGCAGUU
rnacentral:rRNA from 1 species